AGCAGCCGCGGUAAAUUCCAGCUCCAAUAGCGUAUAUUAAAGUUGUUGCAGUUAAAAAACUCGUAGUUGAAUUUCAGGAUUAAUAUAUUGGUCGUGCCUCCGGUAUGCACUGGUAUUAUUGAUUUCUACCUUCUGACGAACUGUGAUGUCAUUAAUUUGGUAUCAUGGGGAAUCAGGACUGUUACUUUGAAAAAAUUAGAGUGUUUAAAGCAGACACACGCUUGAAUACAUUAGCAUAGAAUAAUGAAAUAGGACAUUUGACCCUAUUUUGUUGGUUUCUAGGGUCGACGUAAUGAUUAAUAGGAAUAGUUGGGGGCAUUAGUAUUCAAUUGUCAGAAGUGAAAUUCUUGGAUUUAUUGAAGACUAACUACUGCGAAAGCAUUUGCCAAGGAUGUUUUCA
rnacentral:rRNA from 1 species